CGUAAUUCAUCACAUUUUUUAGUCAUUCUUUUUUACCAUUAAACAUAUAUAUUUAUGUACAUGCAACCACUAUCUUUUUCAUCAUGUGUAUCAUGUACACUUGUUCAAAAAUCAUCUCAAUAAACAUUGGACCUAUUAUGACCAAACUUUGUACAAUUAUUAUUAGGGUGUCUAGUUUUGGAAAUAUAUUUCAAGGCCACUACCGGUAUAUUGGAUGAAACUACAUUCCCAUUGAUACCCCAUAAAAAUAACAUAAAACUGUUAAGAGGGUGGUAAAGGGUUAUUUUCGUGCAACGUUUUCUGCCUUUUUAUUUCACGUGUUUUUGUGUUUUGACGUUUCAUUUCUCGUUUUCUCGUGUUUGGUUCGACGUGCGUGCCUCGUGUUCUCCUUUAUUUAUUUUCCGUGUUUCGUUUUGGUACUCUUAAUUACUCGUGCUUGUCCCACAUAUGAUUAAAAAGUAAACUGGGACUAAAUGCAAAGUCAAUCCGGGGAUUAUGUGUUCCCUGAAUAUUUAAAUUGCUAUCAAAUUAACUAUAAUGAAUAAUAUGGCGGUAAAAGCUCUACAGAGCUUGUUUUGUUAUGUGUAUAACCGACAUUAAAUAAAUCUUUUAUGCUUAUGUCUUAUAUUUUUCUUUCAAAUCAGAUGCAACUAGCGGACGCUAAAAUGUGACUGCAGGGUCAUCAUGUCCAUUAUAUAAUGACUAGAUGAUCUCCAAGAACGGUUGAUUAAUAAAUUAUUUUACUUUUUCCAUUAAUAUUUACGAUUUUAUUUCUCGUGCUUCGUUUUUUCCGAUUUUUAUUUUCCGUGCAACGUUUUUGCGAUUUUUAUUUCACGUGUUUCUGUGUUCAUGGCCCCUUUACUACCCUCGUGUUAAAUUGAUAACAAAAAAUAUUUCAGUAAAGAUCAGUCAAAAGCAUUAAAAAUAUCAUAAGGAAUAAUGUUUUGGAAAUGACUUUUAAUGAUUCCCCUUUAUUCAGUAUGAUGAAGUAUAUAUGACAAAAAUAUUGCCAAGGUUUGAUAAAUGUUAAUUUUAAUAUGUCUUUAUUUCGUAAAAUGAAUACUUCUGUUUAUUAUGAAUACUUGUUUGAUUGGCUGAUAUUGUUCAUGUAGGUUUGGCUAUAAUACUUGUGAUGUGCAAUAAUUAUAUAUAUGUAACAUAUUGUAAGUAGAAGAAUUUAUUUUAUACAGAUAUAGAAAUAAAUGUUUAU
rnacentral:lncRNA from 1 species